CCACGGCCUCAGAUCAGACAUGGUGACCUGCUGAAUUUAAGCAUAUUACUAAGCAGAGGAAAAGAAACUAACCAGGAUUCCUCAGUAAUGGCCAGUGAAAAGGGAAGAGCCCGUACGAAUCCCCAUUCAGCAGCAGGCGUGGGAAAUGUGCAUGCAGAAGACCGACUCCCGGCAUCGCUCAGGGUGUUCAGUUCCUUCUGAUCGAGAAUCACCACUCGGAUGGUGUUAAGCUGAUAGCGGCCGCUUGCACCCUGGGAUCAGGUCUUCUUGGAGUCAGGUUGCUUGGGAAUGCGGCCCAAAGCGUGUGGUAAACUCUGUCUAAGGCUAAAUACGAGACUGAUGGCCAACAAGUACCAUAAGGGAAAGGUGAAAAGAAGUUUGAAGAAAGAGUGCAAGAGGGCGUGAAACGGUUGAGAGGUAAACUGGUGGGGUCUGUGCAGUCCACCCACAGGAUUCAACACGGCAGGCAGGUUGGUCACCUGGAACGGUGGAGGCCCUUGUGGGUCUGCGGUCCGGGAACAUCCAGCACCAGCAGGGCGCAUUUCCUCUGUGGCGGUGCACCAGAACCGGCUGGGAAGGCCUUAGGGGGCAGGUUGCUCUCUGCUCCAGCAGAGAGUGUUACAGCCACCUGACAGCAGUUGUUUGCUGUGUCCACAGGGCUGAGGGAGCUAGACCGCCACCGUGCCCUUAUCCGGCAACCGUCCUGGCCCUCCUGGGGUUCGCUAGCGUGGCGACGGGAGACAGGGAUGCGACUGUGGGGACUGCCCUCAAUACGCCCAGACCACGUCGUGCUGCCCACUCUGUCAGAGAGAUGAUGCAUGAGCGUGUGUGAUAGGACCUGAAAGAUGGUGAACUCGGUCUCGUGGAGGUCCGUAGCGGUCCUGAUGUGUAAAUCGGUCAUCCGACUGGGUAUGGAGCAAAAGUCUUAUCGAACGAUAUAGUAGCUGGUUCUCUCCGAAGUUUCCCUCAGGAUAGCUGGCACACGGAAACCUAGUUUUAUCUAGCAAAGUGAAUGAUUAGAGGUCUCGGGCCAAAUGAUCUAACCUACUCUCAAACUUUAAUUGGGUAUGAAACAUGGCUCGCUGGCGUGGAACAGGGUAUUGUUUGAAAGCGCUCAGUGGACAACUUUUGGUAAGCGGUUAAGGCACUUGAUGCAGAUUCUCAUCAGACCCAGAAACAGUGUUGGUUGAUAUAGACAGCAGGAUGGUGGCCAUGGAAGUCAGAAUCCGCUGAGGAGUGUGUAACAACUCACCUGCCGAAUCUACUAGCCCUGAAAAUGGAUGGCGCUGUAGCGUCGGGGCAAUACCCGGCGGGCGCAGAGAGCCGCAGGGGCUAAGUCAGGUGAGUAGGAGGGCUGCUGCAGUACGCACAGAAGCCCACAGCGAGGGCUUGGGUAGAGCCGCCGCAGGUGCAGAUCUUGGUGGUAGUAGCAAAUAUUUAAACAAGAACUUUGAAGGAUGAAGCGGAGAAUGGUUCCAUGUGAACAGAAGUUGAACAUGAGUGAGUCAGUCCUAAGAGAUGGGCGAGCGCCGUUCGGAAGGGAUGGGCUAUGGCCUCCGUUGCCCUCAGCCGAUCGAAAAGGAGUUGGGUUCAGAUCCCCGAACCCAGAGUGGCGGGGACAGGCGCCCUUUCGGCGUCCAGUGCGGUAACGCAAAUGAUCCUAGAGAAGCCGGCGGGAGCCGCAGGGAGAGUUCUUUCCUUUGUGAAGAGCAGGGCAUCCUGGAAUGGGUUUGCCCCGAGAAAGGGGCCUGAGCAUUGGAAAGCGUUGCUCUUCUGGUGGCAUCCAGUGAGCUCUCGCUGGUCCUUGAAAAUCUGGGUGAGAUGUUGUAAAUCUCGCGCAAGGCCGUACCCAUAUCCGCAGCAAGUCUCCAAGGCAGACAACCUGUGGCAUGUCAGAACAAUGUAGGUACGGGAAGUCGGCAUGUUAGAUCCGUAACUUCGGGUUAAGGAUUGGCUCUAAGGGCUGCGUCGCUCGGGCUGAGGCGCAAAGCAGAGCUGGGUGCGUACCAUGGCUGGGUGAGGAGUCUUUCCUCCCGGGGGGAGGCUCUGCCUCUGGAUGCAAGCCGGGCCCUUCCUGUGGUUCACCCCCGCUGCAGUGUUCGCCUCUCUCGUUCCCCUUCCUGGGGUUCAGGGCCGGCAUUCUGCCUCUGCCGACACCUUGCAGCUGACUUGGAACUGGUGCGGACCAGGGGAAUCUGACUGUUUUAACAAAGCAUUGCGAAGGCCUGUGGAGGGUGUUGGCGCAAUAUGAUUUCUGUCAAGUGCUCUGAAUGUCAAAGUGAAGAAAUUCAAAGAAGCCUGGGUAAACGGCUGGGGUAACUAUGACCUUUAAGGUAGCCAAAUGCCUCGUCAUCUAAUUAGUGAUGCGCAUGAAUGGAUGAAUGAGAUUCCCACUGUCCCUACCUACUAUCUAGCGAAACCACAGCCAAGGGAACAAGCUUGGCAGAAUCGUCAGGGAAAGAAGACCCGGUUGAGUUUGACUCUAGUCUGGUACUGUGAAGAGACAAGAGAGGUAGGAUAAGUGGGAAGCCCUGGGGCCGUUGGUGAAAUACCACUACUCUUAUUGUUUUUCCACUUACCCGGUGAGGUGGGGGGCGAGCCCUGUGUUGCUCUCGCUUCUGGCUCCAACGACUCGCUCCGGGGACAGUGGCAGGUGGGGAGUCUGACUGGGGUGGUACAUCUGUCAAAGGAUAACACAGGUGUCCUAAGGUGAACUCGGGAAGGACAGAAACCUCCCACGGAGCAGAAGGGCAAAAGCUAGCUUGAUCUCGAUUUUUCAGUAUGAAUACAGAUCGUGAAAGCGGGGCUUCACGAUCCUGCUGACUUUUUGGUUUCAAGCAGGAGGUGUCAGAAAAGUUACCACAGGGAUAACUGGCUUGUGGGGGCCAAGCCUUCAUAGCGACGUUGCUUUUUGAUCCUUCGAUGUCGACUCUUCCUAUCAUUGUGAAACAGAAGUCACCAAGCGUCGGAUUGUUCACCCACUAAUAGGGAACGUGAGGUGGAUUUAGACCGUUGUGAGAUAGCUUAGUUUUACCCUAGUGAUGAUGUGUUGUUGCAAUAGUAAUCCUGCUCAGUACGAGAGGAACCGCAGGUUCAGGCAUUUGGUGUGCAUGCUUGGCUGAGGAGCCAAUGGGGCGAAUCUACCAUCUGUGGGAUUAUGACUGAACGCCUCUAAGUCAGAAUCCCCCCCCACCCCCAGACUGUGAUACUGCAGCGCUGUCGAGCAUCCGUUGGCUUAGGAUAGCCGGCGUCAGGACUGGUGUGUACAGCCGCUCGCCUCGGGACUUGUGUGGACAGAAGGGGGCCACCUCUCACCCGUAGUGCACCGCAU
rnacentral:rRNA from 1 species